GCUGGGCGUGGUGGAGCACGCCUGUAAUCCCAGCUACUUGGGAGGCUAAGGCAGAAGGAUCGCUGGAGCCCGGACGUUUGAGGCUGCAGUGAGUUAUGAUCAUGCCGCUGCACUCCAGCCUGGGUGAGACAGCAAGAUUCUGUUUCUA
rfam:Chlorocebus sabaeus isolate 1994-021 chromosome 24, whole genome shotgun sequence.